rnacentral:rRNA from 1 species
GAUGAACGCUGGCGGCGUGCCUAAUACAUGCAAGUCGAGCGAACAGACGAGGAGCUUGCUCCUCUGAUGUUAGCGGCGGACGGGUGAGUAACACGUGGAUAACCUACCUAUAAGACUGGGAUAACUUCGGGAAACCGGAGCUAAUACCGGAUAACAUGUUGAACCGCAUGGUUCUACAGUGAAAGACGGUCUUGCUGUCACUUAUAGAUGGAUCCGCGCCGCAUUAGCUAGUUGGUAAGGUAACGGCUUACCAAGGCAACGAUGCGUAGCCGACCUGAGAGGGUGAUCGGCCACACUGGAACUGAGACACGGUCCAGACUCCUACGGGAGGCAGCAGUAGGGAAUCUUCCGCAAUGGGCGAAAGCCUGACGGAGCAACGCCGCGUGAGUGAAGAAGGUCUUCGGAUCGUAAAACUCUGUUAUUAGGGAAGAACAAAUGUGUAAGUAACUAUGCACGUCUUGACGGUACCUAAUCAGAAAGCCACGGCUAACUACGUG